rnacentral:rRNA from 1 species
ACUCCUACGGGAGGCAGCAGUGGGGAAUAUUGGACAAUGGGGGCAACCCUGAUCCAGCAAUGCCGCGUGAGUGAUGAAGGCCUUAGGGUUGUAAAGCUCUUUUGGCGGGGACGAUGAUGACGGUACCCGCAGAAUAAGCACCGGCUAACUCUGUGCCAGCAGCCGCGGUAAUACAGAGGGUGCAAGCGUUAAUCGGAAUUACUGGGCGUAAAGCGUGCGUAGACGGUAGCGUAAGUCGGGUGUGAAAGCCCCGGGCUCAACCUGGGAAUUGCGCUCGAAACUACUUGGCUGGAGUGUGGCAGAGGAAGGUGGAAUUCCACGUGUAGCAGUGAAAUGCGUAGAGAUGUGGAGGAACACCGAUGGCGAAGGCAGCCCCCUGGGCCAAUACUGACGCUCAUGCACGAAAGCGUGGGGAGCAAACAGGAUUAGAUACCCUGGUAGUCCUAGCCCUAAACGAUGAAUGCUUGGUGUGACAGGUACCCAAUCCUGUCGUGCCGGAGCUAACGCAUUAAGCAUUCCGCCUGGGGAGUACGGUCGCAAGGCUGAAACUUAAAGGAAUUGACG